AACGAACGCUGGCGGCAGGCUUAACACAUGCAAGUCGAGCGCCCCGCCAGGGGAGCGGCAGACGGGUGAGUAACGCGUGGGAACGUACCUUUUGGUUCGGAACAACUCCGGGAAACUGGAGCUAAUACCGGAUAAGCCCUAACGGGGAAAGAUUUAUCGCCGAAAGAUCGGCCCGCGUCUGAUUAGCUAGUUGGUGAGGUAACGGCUCCCCAAGGCGACGAUCAGUAGCUGGUCUGAGAGGAUGAUCAGCCACACUGGGACUGAGACACGGCCCAGACUCCUACGGGAGGCAGCAGUGGGGAAUAUUGGACAAUGGGCGCAGGCCUGAUCCAGCCAUGCCGCGUGAGUGAUGAAGGCCUUAGGGUUGUAAAGCUCUUUUGUCCGGGAAGAUAAUGACUGUACCGGAAGAAUAAGCCCCGGCUAACUUCGUG
rnacentral:rRNA from 1 species